UCUUAUUCUUAAAUCAUUGAACCUCUGAAUUUUGUUUGGGAAUGUUUACAGAGAAUCUUGUUUGUUUCUCUGAUUUGUUCUAGUAGAGAAAUAUAACCACAGUGGAAUCUAGCGAGGAAGAAGUUAGAAUAGCAAUGAAUAUGGCUGAGAAGAAACUUUCGGGGAAUGAUUACAAUGGAGCGAAGAUAUGCGUUGACAAGGCUAAGAAUUUGUAUCCGAACCUUGAUUGGUUUGAAGUUAACUUUGUUACGAGGUUCGUAUCUCCUUCUUUUAUGUUGGUGAUUUUGGGUUCCUAUCUUAGUUUGAUCGAUGAAUGGACUUGUACAUCUGUGGGAAAAAGAGUUAACAAUGUUAGGAGGACUUUGUUGAAUAAAUAAACGCUUAUAAUUGAGGUCUGAGUAUAGAUAGAUCGAAGCAGGCUAAGAUUAACUUCCUAGUUGUUCUGCUUAGUAAUCAUACAUACUCAUGUCUUUUUAGUUUGAAUGAUCGGUUGUAUGUUUCUUACAUUGAAUGAGUUUCAUGUUCAAGAAGCAAUUGUUCUUCUGUUAAAGCCACAGAGAAAGACAUCUCGUAAUAUAUACAUAUAUUUUCACUAUCUGUCUCCAUAUUUUUCUACUCUAGCUAUGGCGCCCAUUGAGAUUCAUUGCAGGUUGUGCUUUCAUCUUGGGAGUCAGUCGUUGAGUUGCAGCCAAGACUAGAUGAGAUAUCGAAAUGCCCUUGUGAAGGAAUGAUGGUGACUGCCGCUGCUUCUCCAGUUGAUUUCUGUAGCCGCUACUUUGCCCCCAGAUUUGGGAUCAAUGAGGACCCUAGCUAUGAACAAGUGUGAUUUCUUGGCCUACCAGGUUCUCUCUCUUUCUCUCUUCUCCACAGGCUUUUGAUACCACUUUCCAAAGAUUUGGUUAUUUUAAAAUUGUGUGUUAGGCUUCAUAUAUACAAAUACAAUUGUUCUUCUGUUAUUCAAACUUGUUUGCAGCACCAAAGAAUAAUAGAAGAUUCAGAAAGAAUGAAGCACCAACCGUAAUUUCUCCAAAGCAAUAUAAGAGAAGAUUCAGAAAGGCAAGACAAUGACUACUUACUUCCUCAUGGUCCCUGAUCAAUGGUCUCCGCCUACUGUCGUUGCUAAUGACUCCAGAUCUGAUCAACCUGAAGAAACCUCUCAAGCCGGUACACAAACAGAGUGAUAUAAGGAAUCAUCAUAUUGGGUCUUGUAUAGAUUUUGGUAUUAGGGAAGACAAAGAAGAAGAGAAGAAGUAGAUAUAUACUUGCAUACAUGUAAUUGUAAUAGUUUAGGAUCAAUCAUUGGACCCAUGAAAUUUCAAAGUUUCUUAAUGAAUUGCUUAACAUAUUAUUUUUCAA